UUCCCACACCGGGCAGAGGCAUUCAACAACUUACCCAACAAGUUAAAGGAGAUUUGGACUCCUUAAAAGAGUCUAGCCAGAAACAGGAGAGUGCAAUAAUUCAACUUACCAGGGAGGUAAAGGACAAGUCUUCUCAAUAUGCAACACACAUUUCCAAUAUGGUAGUUAAGAUGGAGGACAAUCAGCAGAAAUUACUCAAGUGCAUCUCUGAUAAUAAACAACACGUAGAGAGCGGGAUGGAUCAAUGGACCAAAGCUACCAAAUGUAUGAUCGCAGAUGAACUGACAAAUGUGAAGACUGCCCUUGUAUCUGAGGUACGUUUCUUGGUGGAACAGCUUCAGGUAGAAAUUCAAAAGGAUCUUAAAGACAUGCACAGGAACCUGCAGACUAGUCAAGAUGAACUCAACAGAGAGCUUCAUCAGUGUAAAAAGCAAAUGGAUGAGCUUAGCACUAACUUUCAAAAAUUCCAAUCAGACUUGACAAAACAUUUUGAAAUUGAAAGAAAAGAGAAGAUUGAUCAGCCAAAAGAGGUAUCCAUAUCGACACCCGUUUCCUUUUCCGCACCCCCUAGCCCAGAAGUACACGCUACCACAUCUUCCACUGCUACGGCAGCAAAAAGUGACCAUCUUCGACUAACAUUCCCCACAUUUGGAAGGCCAUCUGAUGACCCAGACCCUUUAAGUUAUUUAACUCGAUGUCAGGAUUUUUUGGCAUUACACCCCUUAUCAGAUGUGGAUCUUCUGGCUACUUUUCGCACAGUCUUACAUGGAACUGCACGUGACUGGUGGGAGGUUGCUCGCUCUUCCACUUUCUCCUGGACAGAAUUCGAAGCAGCUUUCCUCUCUGCUUUUCUCUCAGAGGACUAUGAGGACGAGUUGGCUGAGCGAGUCAGGACUAGGACUCAAGGAGAACGAGAACCUAUUAGAGAUUUUGCUUUUUCCUACAGAGCAUUGUGCAAGAGAUGGAAGAGCACAUUAACAGAAUGUGAAAUUGUAAAAAUGAUUUUAAAAAAUAUUAAACCUCAUCUUGCCAGUCAACUUCGCAGUCGUGUGUCUACAGUGGAAGACUUGGUGAAGCUAGGUCAUCAAUUAGAAAAGGACUAUGAGCAGCAACUCCGGUAUGAUGGAGGCUCAUACCCUAAACAACAGUCUAUAGUGCCCCGACCUCCUGUUAAUCGCUCUAUGGACAAGUCCCAAGUUCAGUGCUGGCGGUGUAAAGGACACCAUUCCCCAGGGAACUGUCC
ensembl:lncRNA